UGGAAAUGAAUCCUCUAGACCUUUCUGGAACUUGUCCACAUAUAUAAGUCACACCCACACGGUGCACCCCACGUACUGAGAGCUUAUAAACUCCUGCGUUCUUACUUGUACAGUACAAAUAAUCAAAGCAUGCCCAUAAAGCGACAAAAAAAAUCAUCAAGCAAUACCUGCAUUAGCGUAAUUCGAAAAUAUCACAUCAUGAUUCCAAGAACCAUCCUCUCUAACUAGAACCUUCUACUGAAUCCGUCUUAUCUCCUUCCCCUAUUAAUACUCUCUGAAAACAAAGUCCAAAUGUUAAACGACGCCAUUUCUGUCUUUCGUUGAUCAUCAUCAAGACCCUAAUCGGAAAAUUUGGAUUAAUGGAGUUCAAGACGGAAUUGCAAGGAGGAGCAAGUGUGAAAGAGGAGGACGUAACAUUUGUAUCGUCUACGAAUACUGCUGCAACUGCUGGUUCAUCGUCUUCAUCUUCUUCACCGCGGCCGAGGGAAGGGUUGCAUGAGGUAGGUCCACCGCCGUUUCUGACGAAAACAUAUGAUAUGGUGGAAGACCCAUCAACGGAUUCGGUGGUUUCGUGGAGUAGAGGAAGGAAUAGUUUUGUUGUUUGGGAUUCUUACAAGUUUUCCACAACUCUGCUUCCGAGGUAUUUUAAGCAUGGCAAUUUUUCUAGCUUCAUUCGCCAGCUUAAUACUUAUGGUUUCAGAAAAGUGGAUCCAGAUAGAUGGGAAUUUGCAAAUGAAGGGUUUCUUGGUGGUCAGAGGCAUCUCCUGAAGACGAUCAGAAGAAGAAGAAAUAUAGCGCAAUCCACCCAACAGAAGCAAGAAUAUGGUGUGUGCAUUGAAGUAGGCCAAUACGGGAUGGAGGAGGAGCUUGAAGCACUGAAAAGGGACAGGAGUUUGUUAAUGGCAGAAAUUGUGAGGCUGAGGCAACUACAGCAGCAUUCUAUAGACCAGCUCAUAGCCAUGGAAAACAGGUUAAGAACCACCGAAAGAAAGCAACAGAACAUGAUGGGUUUUCUCGCAAAAGCAUUCAGUAAUCCUGAAUUCCUACAAAGAUACAUGGAUAAGUAUGCACAGAAGGGGCAAGAUCAUAUUGAAAUUGGUCGGAAAAGGCGGUUAACGAUGGCACCAAGUGUGGAAAAUCUACAAGAAGUGGCUGGUGGUAUGAAGAACAUCCAACUGAAUGUUGAUUCGUUUCUUUUAGCACCUACUCCCGUUGAAGAUGAAUCAAGUAGCGAUGUGGGUAAUCAAGGAGAUGUUUCAAGCUUUGUGGAGGAUGAUUCCAGUGGGAAUUUGUGGGAGGAACUCUUGAAUGUAAAUCUUCCCAUUGAAAACGAGCCUGAAGAGUUUCUUGAUAGUUUAGAUGGUCAAAAUCUUGAUUGGGAUGAGGAUUUGCAAGAACUGGUGGAUCAGAUGGAGUAUCUAAGCAGGGGUGAGUGGAUUUGCAAGGAGGCCGGGCUGCUGUUCUCUUGUAUCCUUUUGUUGUUGGGACCGAAGAACCACAAGAACAACUUUAAGAAGGUUUCAUUCUUGAGAACCGUAUCUGUAGCAGAAUUGGUCUUGUGAAAGAAAGACAAGCAGACAUGGAACGAAGACUUGAGGUCCGUAUGAUGUAAUAAUCUUCAUAGGGUGUGUAUUGCAAUCUAAAAUCAAGACUUGGCUCGACAACUGCUUUUUUGUGUGCCAAGUCUUGAUGGGCUGCCACUUUGUGGAGUUUAGGGUUCUUGUGGGUUUAGUUGGUCCAAAGUUGAGAACUUAUAAAGAAAUCUUGAAUCUUGUGGAUGUUGAUAUCCGCUGUGGUAUGUAGAAAAUGAUUACAAAAGACUGCUUGUAAGAUUUGGGAAAUGAGAAAGUAAUCAAAGGCGUCCUUAAGACUCUUCGUGCUUCAUGGAUGCAACUUGAGAGAUCAUUUAGAUCAGAUCAAUGAGUGAUAAACAUAGAUAUGUCAAACUACAGUUUGGGAUCACUUGUGACUGCUGGUUGGAUUGUCAAGUAGGUUGCGAAGAAGAUACGAUAAUGUCAUCUUGAGGGCUAGCGCAACUAGCAAGAGUAACGACUAGGCCUCGGCGUAGAGAUGUAUAGAAGACUGACUUAACUGAUUUUGGACCGGUAAGGACUGAUUACCAAGCCGCUUUAGAAAUGUUCCCAAGGACCAGGUUACAGGCGAAAACCUCCAAAAGGCUUGGUCAGAGCCCAAAAAACCGGUCAAUACCCUAUUUUACCGCAACUAUUUUUUGUAACCAGAAAAAUAGAAGGAAUAUCAAUAUAAUAUUUGUGGUCAUCAAUAAUAAAAGAGAUAAUUAUGAAUGUUUUAAAGAAAAAAAAUAUCACUUACACUAAAAUAAGGUAACGUUUGAUAUAUAAACAUGACUAGAUUGGCCUGAACAAAACUGAACAUGACUGCAUGUAAGAAGUGUUUCUGGUGGUUGGCGUGACUAGGAUCGAAUAAGACUGGGUUAAAUAAGUUGCCCCUAAAUAUUGUUUACUGAUUUUAUGUUGUGAUAAUCGGUGGUAGUAGAAGAGGUGGUGAUUGUGGUGUAGGCUAUAAAGGUGGUGGUGGUGUUGGUGUUGAUGUUGAUGACAAUGGCAGAGGUAAAGGUGGUGGUGGCAAAGAUUUUGAUUCCAGUGAGGACAACUAUGAUCGUGGGAAGGUUCCAUGGGAACAAUCAUUUAUUUCAGGGUUCGCAGCCAACUCGUGAUGUGGAUGAUCCGUUGAAUCCAUUGUCGUGGUUCAUUGUUGUGCUUACACGCUAGACUACCCUUUUCCGAUGUUAAGUACUUCUUCCCAUUUCUUCUUAUAGAAUUAAGGGGCUGUUUGACAGUUGCUGAAUGAUUAGGUGCAGAAGAUUAAGUUGUCAAAAUGAUUAAAAGGCCCUCAUGAUAGAAUGCAAAAGGAAAUAUAAUUGUUUGGUAAUUGUUUAUAAUGAAAUUAGGCUUUUAAUGGUUAAGGGAAGCCCAUGAUACAAAAUCAUUCAGAAGGUUUUAGAACCAUUAAGAGAUAGAUUUUUUUCCAAACAAAAUUUAUGGGCUGUUUGACAGUUGCUGAAUGGUUUGGUGCAGAAUGAUUAAGUGGUAAAAAUGAUUAAGAUACUUUCAUG